rnacentral:rRNA from 1 species
AACGCUGGCGGCGUGCUUAGCACAUGCAAGUCGAGUGCGCAGUUUGCUGUAGCAAUACAGCAGGCGGGCGCACGGCGCACGGGUGCGUAACACGUGGGUAACCUGCCCUGCAAUGGGGGAUAACCCGCCGAAAGGCGGGCUAAUACCGCAUGAUAUUCCGGUGGCUUCGGACGCCGGAAUCAAAGCCCGCAAGGGCGUUGGAGGAGGGGCCCGCGGCCGAUUAGCUAGUUGGUGAGGUAACGGCUCACCAAGGCUGUGAUCGGUAGCCGGUCUGAGAGGAUGGCCGGCCACACUGGAACUGAGACACGGUCCAGACUCCUACGGGAGGCAGCAGUGGGGAAUCUUGCGCAAUGGGCGAAAGCCUGACGCAGCGACGCCGCGUGGGGGAUGAAGCUCUUCGGAGUGUAAACCCCUUUCGACCCGGACGAAACGCCCGCAAGGGCUUGACGGUACGGGUAUAAUAAGCCCCGGCUAACUACGUGCCAGCAGCCGCGGUAAGACGUAUGGGGC